rnacentral:rRNA from 1 species
UACGUAGGGUGCAAGCGUUGUCCGGAAUUAUUGGGCGUAAAGAGCGUGUAGGCGGCCCGAUUAGUCCGCUGUGAAAGUCCAGGGCUCAACUGUUGAAAGCCGGUGGAUACUGUCGGGCUAGAGUACGGAAGAGGCAAGUGGAAUUCCUGGUGUAGCGGUGGAAUGCGCAGAUAUCAGGAGGAACACCCAUAGCGAAGGCAGCUUGCUGGGACGUUACUGACGCUAAGGCGCGAAAGCGUGGGGAGCGAACAGG